UGCAGCUCCCACGGUUUGAAGAAGCAAUGUGGGCAUCUGCUUCACAAAGCUAAACUUAACUUGUUCUCCCUCCUUCCAUGAAUGCUGGAGUGUUCUGAUGCUAAGUUUUUUGUUAGAUUUGGGUUUUAUAACCCAGGACUCAGGACUUUCUCAAGGAUCUGGGAGCCAUCCCUUUGAAAUGUAAUCUUCAAAGAAGAUAAUACUGCAUCUCCUGGUCUCAUGGGAGGACAGGAGCCUAAUAGGAAACACAUAGAAAACUUCCAGAGACAUCAAUUCAAAAAGAGAACCAGCAACAGGUAGGGAGAAUGUCAUCCAACAAACCUGAAACUAAAAUUGGUUUGUGUCUUAAAAACCCUAAGUAUCAAGUAGUAUCAGAAAAAGAUGUUAUACAUUGCCUUUUACCCUCUAAAGUAAAAAUAUUUUUCUGACUUGAGCAAUUUGCUGAUAAAGCAGAGUAUGUUUGAAGGAAUUUUUUGUUGAUAUGUAGUUUUCAUUAUCUUUUUGAUUAAGAGUUAGAUGCGCAAAUUGUUACUGAAAGAUGUAUGAAUCAUAUGAUCUGACAUAUUUUUAAAAAGACUUCUGCGACUGCUCAGUGAAGAAUUAACUAUGGAAGAUUAAAGUAAAUUUAUUUCAAUGCUCAUUGAAUUAUGUCUAAAUUUAGCAUUUAAUGUCAUAAAAACUUUUCUGAAAAUGGUUGAUACCUACUAUAUAAUAAAAGCAAAUGUAAAAAUAAUCACAUUUUAGACUAUUUUUAAAUUCAUAAAGGGAGGAAAUAUUAACUCUGAUGUCUAAAAAAUACAAUUAAGACUAUUAAUAGGAAUUGGUAAAGCAGAAAACAUUGAUCAAGAGAUACGUUUGUAACAACAGAGAAAAAAGUAUUUAUAAAAUAAUUAUAUUCAAUAGAUUAUUGAGCUUCUCAUAAUUUUAAGAUGCAUAUUUCAAUCCAGAAAAUGAACCCUACUGUAUUAUUAUUUUUCGUUUAACUCAAUAUGCAACUUUUCAGUCACUGAUCCCUGAACAAAUGAAGUAACAACUUUGUGAUAUCUGUCAGUGUCACUUUCACAAUGUAUUUGAAAACAUGGAGAGAUUUAAACAUGACAUUUAUAUGUUUUCAUACUGCAUGUGAAUAGAAAAUAGAUGAAUAAAUUCACAACUUUAACUUACAUUUAUAUGAGUAGUAAAUGAGUAAAACAUUUUUCUUUCCUUCAGGCAAAAAGUUAAUACUCCUUAUGGCACUGUUAUUUUGUCUUAUGAAUCUUGUGCGCAAUAGGCAGUCAUUUUCCUACCAUGACUUUGCAUAGUUUAAUUAAACUAUAGAUAUACAAACUAGUUCUUCAAUUUCAUUUCUAUCUUUUUUUACACUUGAAUGAAAAAAUAUAUAUACAUUUAAUGUAUAUAUAUAUAUAAUAUACAUAAUUGAAUGAAAAUGCAUUAAUUUUGUUUUGUAUUAUUCAUUAAUAUGCUUUAUAUGGUAUAGAGGCAAUCUUAAAUAUUUUAUAUAGUCACCAGGAAAUGGAAGCAUUCAACUGAGUUUUUAGUGAUGUAUUUCUGAGAAAACAUUAGCUACAGUUGAGCCUUAUUUAGAUAAAGUGCACAAAUUAUUUUUAAAAAUCUAUAAAGUUAUUUCAGAUUUUUAUUUCAAGUUAUGAGUAGCUAAGGGAUUUAUGCAAAUGAAAUUUCCACAAAAAUUCUCCUUGAAAAUAUAGAUUAUUGCGUAAUGGAUAGGCUGUGCUUAUGGAGUUCAACACAGUUGGCUGUGUAGCUGUGCUUCUUCACUCACUAAUUGUGUGGACUCGGGCAAGUAAUUUAACCUCACAUUCUCAGUAUCUUUGUGGAAAACAAUACAAAAAAAUGUUUGAAGAAAGAAUAAACAGAAAAACAAAAACAAUAACAAAAGUAUUUAAAGAUUUGUAGGUGUAUUAGAGUUUUCCAAGAGGCUAUGUAUACACACAAACAUAUAUAAUGAGGUUAUUAUAAGGAAUCAGCUUAUAUCAAUAUGGAGGCUGACAAGUCCUAAGAUAUGCACUUGGCAAAGUGGAGAUGGAGAGUUGAUGAUGUAGUUCCACUCUCAAGUCUGAUUGGCCUGAUACUCAGAAAGGAUCAAUUUCUUGGUGUGAUUCAGAAAACAAGAAAAAAAAUGGUGUCUCAGCUAGAAGGCAGUCAGAGAAGAGGAAUUCCCCCUUAAGUAUCAGACUCUUGGCUCUAUUCAGGUAUUCAACUGAUUGGAUAAGGCCUACACAUUAUGGAGCAUAAUCUGCUUUACUCAGUCUGAUGCUUCACGGUAACAUCCAAAAUGGUGUUUGACCAAAUAUCUGAAUAUCUCAUGGCCCAGUCAAAUUGACACAUAAAAUUAACCAUCACAGAAGAGGUAAUUAGAAAUAGUGUAGCUUCCAGGGCUUGAACACUGUCUGGCACAUAGUAAAUACUAAAUAAAUGGCAUGUAUUAAUAUUAGUAGUAACUGACUGUGAAAUAACAAUUUAUUAAACAUAUACCUUGCAAGAAGCCUAGAGGUGGUGAGCAUUUUAGGUAUUUUUUAGAAGAACUGUGAUCGAAAUUGAUAUGAUGUCUCAACUCUCUGCUUAUAUUACACAGGUCAAGGGCCAAAGUCAUCCCACUUACUUCUCUGAGACUUUUCAUUUCCAAAUAUAUUGAACAGAGCCACUCUGGGCCAUAGGAUAUAAUGCUUCAACUUUUACAUAGUUGAAAUAUACUCCCUGGAUAUGUGUUGGAGAGCCAGUUAUUAGAUUUGGUCUCUAACUAGUGAAGUCUAACUAGUGAAGCCUAAAUCACUGAGUAAUAAUUUGUGGAAUGACCUAAAUUGAAGAGCUCACAGAGAAAAAUGAAAAGGGUCUUUGUAAAACAAACAUCUUUGCCAAAGCAGAAAGCGGCCAGUAUAAAUUGCUGCUGGUUGUAUACUCUUGAAGGAGAAUGAAAGUAGAUUGCUUUGGCAUAUUCUCAUGGAGGAAUAUGUUUUUGUUUUUUUCAUACUGUGCCGAGACCAGCUCAGCAGGAUGGGGUUGAAGAACGGGUGCUGUGAAACUUAAGGAAAAAAGUUAACAUAAAA